rnacentral:rRNA from 1 species
AACAUGCAGUCGAGCGCCCCUUCGGGGGAGCGGCAGACGGGUGAGUAAUGCAUGGGAAUCUACCCAGCUCUACGGAAUAACUCAGGGAAACUUGAACUAAUACCGUAUGCGCCCUUCGGGGGAAAGAUUUAUCGGAGUUGGAUGAGCCCAUGUCUGAUUAGCUAGUUGGUGGGGUAAAGGCCUACCAAGGCGACGAUCAGUAGCUGGUCUGAGAGGAUGAUCAGCCACACUGGGACUGAGACACGGCCCAGACUCCUACGGGAGGCAGCAGUGGGGAAUAUUGGACAAUGGGGGCAACCCUGAUCCAGCCAUGCCGCGUGAGUGAUGAAGGCCCUAGGGUUGUAAAGCUCUUUCACCGGUGAAGAUAAUGACGGUAACCGGAGAAGAAGCCCCGGCUAACUUCGUGCCAGCACCCGGGGGAAAUAAAAACUUUACCUACAGAAGAACCACCGGCUAAUGU